AGGUGCGAUCAUACCAGCACUAAUGCACCGGAUCCCAUCAGAACUCCGCAGUUAAGUGUGUUUGGGCGAGAGUAGUACUAGGAUGGGUGACCUCCUGGGAAGUCCUCGUGUUGCACCUC
rnacentral:rRNA from 2 species